rnacentral:rRNA from 1 species
UCCCAUUUUGCGGCGAGUGAACCGGGAAGAGCUCAAAUUUGAAAUCUGGCGUGCUCAGUGCGUCCGAGUUGUAAUCUAUAGAGUCGUUUUCCGUGCCGGACUGUGUCCAAGUCCCUUGGAACAGGGUAUCAAAGAGGGUGAUAAUCCCGUACUUGACACAAUGACCGGUGCUCUGUGAUACGUCUUCUACGAGUCGAGUUGUUUGGGAAUGCAGCUCAAAAUGGGUGGUGAGUUCCAUCUAAAGCUAAAUAUUGGCGAGAGACCGAUAGCGAACAAGUACCGUGAGGGAAAGAUGAAAAGCACUUUGGAAAGAGAGUUAAACAGUACGUGAAAUUGUUAAAAGGGAAACGAUUGAAGUCAGUCGUGACUGAGAGGCUCAGCCGGUUCUGCCGGUGUAUUCCCCUCAGUCGGGUCAACAUCAGUUUUGUUCGGUGGAUAAGGGCAGUUGGAAGGUGGCACCCUCGGGUGUGUUAUAGCCAGCUGUCGCAUACAUCGGAUGAGACUGAGGAAUGCAGCUCGCCUUUAUGGCCGGGGUUCGCCCACGUUCGAGCUUAGGAUGUUGACAUAAUGGCUUUAAACGACCCGUCUUGAACCACGGGGAACCAA